CUCUCUCUCUCUCUCUCUCCUUGCAGUUUCUGGAAUUGGGAGUGCAAGAAGCGGCGAGCGAUUCCGGAGGUGACGAGAAGCAAUAGAAGUUCAUCUAGCAUGGUUCGAAUCAAUUAAAGACCUGAGAUUCAGUGGUAGAAGCUGCAGACAACCAUUGCUGGCAAGGCACAAGAGGUUUCUACGGUCAGAUCUAUAUUGAGGCGAGGCCAUGUCAAAGAAAACACCACUAGUUAUGUGUUUGCAGCCACCUCUGCUACAUUUUGUUGUAUCAUAUUUGAGGUUCAGUUUCAUGCUGGUUGCAAUUUCUUACGGAUUGUUGUAUUUUGUUGUAGGUAGUAAGAUCAUAAGAUACUAAUGGGCUCCCUGUAAUCCCAAAGUGCACUGGCCAGUGGAUAGAUAUUUUUUACAAAAUCUUCUAGAGGCGCUUAAUUUUCUAUAUCGAAAACGACUGCUGGUUCCAUCCAACCUGUAUGGGAAUGAUUAUUGAGUAGGCCAAAAAGUUAGAUAAUUUCCUGUGCUCAGAUUGUGCUAAAGAAAACGACGCAAAGAGACCUACAAAUUCAUACCAGAGUUCACCAAGUUCUCAUUCUUAG